rnacentral:lncRNA from 1 species
GGUGAUUGUGAUGAAAGUCGGCGAGUUAUGAAGAAGCUCGGCGACUUAGAAAAGGAUUAGGGUUUAAGCAAAAUAAGGGUAAGUGGAGUGCGGAUUAAAAUAGCCGACUCUCUAUUUAUAGACCCUGGGCAAAUUGCAAAAAUUCCCCGGAGAAUCUACAAAUUACGCGAAGAAAAAUCGCUAAUUGAUCUCCAAAUCCGCAAACUCGGCGAGUCUCUAGCAAACUCGCCGAGUUUGAGCAUAAAUCACGGGAUACGAGGAGGAAAUUUCCAUACUUGGAAAAUUUGCAAAUAUUUCCCAAGAUCCUAAGGAUUCUCGAAGAGAUCCGCCAGCUCAUACUAAGACUCGCCGAGUUUAUAGGAAAAUCGCCUAUCCAGGUCAGCGAACCUCCAGACUUCUCAAAAAACAACCCCAAUGCUAAGUCGG